AGCAGAGGUUUUUUCUUCUGGGAAUUUUGAGAGAGGACUUUGGACUGGAAGAUAUGCGUGUGAAUAUGGAAAAUAAAAUACAGACGGAUGACAAACGGUGCCACUGAUUGAUCGUCUUACGAUUUAAGCCCUCCUCUGCUGUGCUGCUGCUGCUGGGUGAAGGUUAAUGAGAACGGCCAUAAAGAAAGAGAACAGGACUAAGAUGAACUUGCCACCCCACAGGCCUUGUGAGCCCUGAAAUACACUGGACUGUGAUGGCCAAGCUUUAGACUCCCUCUGAGAAGUCUCUCUUGACCAUGCCAAAGAGAAGUGAGCCCUUCCUUGCAUCUCUAACAACCCGUGGGCCAUCGUUGCUGGGACCCAGAGCACAACAAUUCUGCACAGCCAACACUCAGGCCCAAGAUUCCCACCUCACUGUAGAUGAGUUGAGGAGGAACCCCACACCCGGGGCACAAGCAUGGCCGAUGAGUUUCUGUGAAGCAGGAACUCUCUGAACGUGUUUGUAAACAGUGACCUGAAGAUCAAUCGUUAGCUAAAGGCACCCCCCUUCCUCAUCUUUUUGAGUGUCUAUCAUGUUUACUUUAUAUUAGAAUAUUGUUCUUAGAUCCAACAACACGUUAUUGAGCCAGUAGGAGAAGAACCCCAAACAGACAGAGCAUGGUGACUCUUA